UUUAACUCAUACGCCGAAUGUUCUCUACGCUAGGAGGAACAGGAGGCAGCCAUUUCUUAGGAAAUGGACAUACAAAGGUCAAGCGAAGAGCAAAUAUCCUUUGAUCCGGAGAUCUCUGAAUGGGGAAACCCGGCUGUAUGGACUACAGUCAUCCAUAAGUGAAUCCAUAGCUUAUGGAAGGGAACCCGGGGAACUGAAACAUCUAAGUACCCGGAGGAAGAGAAAGAAACAUCGAUUCCGUAAGUAGCGGCGAGCGAACGCGGAAGAGCCCAAACCGUGAUGCGUGCAUCGCGGGGUUCGGACUGCAUAAGGGAUUCAGUAACGGCAGGAGAACGGCUUUGGAACAGCCGGCCAGAGAGGGUGAGAGCCCCGUAUCCGAAGCCAGAGCUGACCCGGCAGGAUCCAGAGUACCACGGGACACGGGAAACCCUGUGGGAACGAGCGGAGACCACUCCGUAAGGCUAAAUACUACUCAGUGACCGAUAGCGUAUAGUACUGUGAAGGAAAGGUGAAAAGAACCCCGGGAGGGGAGUGAAAGAGAACCUGAAACCCUGUGUCUACAAGCUGUGGAAGUACUUCUUAGGUACGACCGCGUACUUUUUGUAGAACGGUCCGGCGAGCUGCGGGUACUGGCAAGGUUAAGCACUUCAGGUGCGGAGCCGUAGGGAAACCAAGUCUUAAGAGGGCGUUUUAGUCAGUACGUGCAGGCCCGAAACCGGGUGACCUAUCCAUGUCCAGGUUGAAGCCGCCGUAAAAGGCGAUGGAGGACCGAACCCACAUCCGUUGAAAAGGGUGGGGAUGAGGUGUGGAUAGCGGAGAAAUUCCAAUCGAACCCGGAGAUAGCUGGCAAAGAAUAUCAAACUCCGAAUGCCGGACAGAUGGUGUAUGGGAGUCAGACUGUACGAGAUAAGUUGGACAGUCAAAAGGGAAAGAGCCCAGACCGCCGGCUAAGGUCCCAAAGUGGGUGUUAAGUGGAAAAGGAUGUGGGAUCUCUAAGACAACCAGGAUGUUGGCUCAGAAGCAGCCAUUCAUUAAAAGAGUGCGUAACAGCUCACUGGUCGAGAGGUCCUGCGCCGAAAAUGUCCGGGGCUGAAACACCACACCGAAGCCGCGGAACCCGUAAGGGUUGGUAGAGGAGCAUUCUUAGGGGAGCGAAGCAUUACCGUAAGGGGAUGUGGACCGCUAAGAAGAGAGAAUGCCGGAAUGAGUAGCGAGAGCAAGGUGGGAAUCCUUGCGGCCGAAUAUCCAAGGUUUCCAGAGUAAAGCUGAUCUGCUCUGGGUAAGUCGGGGCCUAAGGAGAGGCAGAGAUGCGUAUCCGAUGGACAGCAGGUUUAAGAUUCCUGCACCCCUUGUUAUCAGAACUGCGGGGACACGGGAAGGGAAGCAGAGCCGGGAAUGGAAAGCCCGGUGCAAGCGAAGUAGUCGCAGGGUUGGAAAAUCCGCCCUGCAUGAGACGAAGGCGUGAUGCGGAGCGAAAUGAAGUAGUGAAGCUGCGGCCCCUUCCUGUCGAGAAAAGCCGCUAUCGUGUAGCAAGGGCCCGUACCGUAAACCGACACAGGUGGAUGAGGAGAGGAUCCUAAGGCCGGCGGGAGAAGUGUUGUUAAGGAACUCGGCAAAAUGACUCCGUAACUUCGGGAGAAGGAGUGCUGCGCAAGCAGCCGCAGAGAAAUGGCCCAAGCAACUGUUUAGCAAAAACACAGGUCUAUGCGAAACCGCCCAGUAAACGGCGGCCGUAACUAUAACGGUCCUAAGGUAGCGAAAUUCCUUGUCAGGUAAGUUCUGACCCGCACGAAAGGCGUAAUGAUUUGUGCACUGUCUCGACAACACGCCCGGUGAAAUUGAAGAACCAGUGAAGAUACUGGUUACCCGCAACAGGACGGAAAGACCCCAUGGAGCUUUACUGCAGCCUGAUACUGGGAUUCGAUGAUAUAUGUACAGGAUAGGUGGGAGGCUAAGAAGCGAGAACGCUAGUUUUCGUGGAGCCGCCGGUGGGAUACCACUCUUAUGUCAUUGAAUUUCUAACCUGCAUCCGUAAUCCGGGUGAGGGACAAUGUCAGGCGGGCAGUUUGACUGGGGCGGUCGCCUCCUAAAAGGUAACGGAGGCGCUCGAAGGUCACCUCAGAAUGAUUGGAAACCAUUCAAAGAGUGUAAAGGCAAAAGGUGGCUUGACUGCGAGAGCGACGGCUCGAGCAGGUACGAAAGUAGGACUUAGUGAUCCGGUGGUAAUAAGUGGGAAUGCCAUCGCUCAACGGAUAAAAGCUACCCUGGGGAUAACAGGCUUAUCU
rnacentral:rRNA from 1 species